AUUGAACGCUGGCGGCAUGCUUUACACAUGCAAGUCGAACGGUAACAGGCCGCAAGGUGCUGACGAGUGGCGAACGGGUGAGUAAUGCAUCGGAACGUGCCCAGUCGUGGGGGAUAACGCAGCGAGAGCUGCGCUAAUACCGCAUACGAUCUGUGGAUGAAAGCGGGGGACCGUAAGGCCUCGCGCGAUUGGAGCGGCCGAUGUCAGAUUAGGUAGUUGGUGGGGUAAAGGCUCACCAAGCCAACGAUCUGUAGCUGGUCUGAGAGGACGACCAGCCACACUGGGACUGAGACACGGCCCAGACUCCUACGGGAGGCAGCAGUGGGGAAUUUUGGACAAUGGGCGCAAGCCUGAUCCAGCAAUGCCGCGUGCAGGAAGAAGGCCUUCGGGUUGUAAACUGCUUUUGUACGGAACGAAAAGGCUCUGGAUAAUACCUGGGGCUCAUGACGGUACCGUAAGAAUAAGCACCGGCUAACUACGUGCCAGCCGCCGCCGUAAAAC
rnacentral:rRNA from 1 species